UACGAACUGUGCAAACGUUAUUCGGAUUCACUGGGCUUAAAGGGUGCGUAGGCGGCCAUGUAAGUAGGGUGUGAAAUCCCCCGGCUUAACCGGAGAACUGCGCCCUAAACUGUAUGGCUGGAGUGAGAUAGGGGUGUGUGGAACUUCCGGUGGAGCGGUGAAAUGUGUUGAUAUCGGAAGGAACGCCGGUGGCGAAAGCGACACACUGGGUCUCAACUGACGCUGAGGCACGAAAGCCAGGGGAGCGAACGGG
rnacentral:rRNA from 1 species